rnacentral:lncRNA from 1 species
CUCCUCUAGCUGCUUAGCUCCUGGAGUUUUCCUGCCAGGUGUUAAGACGUUGACCGUGGCUGAGCGUCGCUUGACUCCAAUUAUUUUGCGACGCACGUUACGAUCUUUUCGUUCAGUUAAAUCAAAAAGUACUCUAGUUACUGGUCGCGCUAAUUUCGGUGUAGGGCUAAAAGGGGUCAUAUGGACGUCGUGUUGUGACAUUAUGGUUGUGACAUGUUAAGUGUGUGUUACCGGCUGGCUUCCGACACCGCUGUCAGACACCCCACCCAGCACUAGGGGAGAACCGCGAACCCGGGCGCAUGUAAUAAAAUCUAGCGCUUCCAAUCUGGCUUUUGGCAAGUCCUUAAGUAGCAAUCACGCGACGCCAUCACGAAUUCUGCUGGUGCUUUUUCCCCACAGCUAUCGACAUGCAGUGUGUGUGUGUGUGUGUGUGUGUGUGUGUGUGUGUGUGUGUGUGUGUGUGUGUGUGUGUGUGUGUGUGUGUGUGUGUGUGUGUGUGUGUGUGUGUGUGUGUUACAGUGUUAUCGCGUAGUACGUUAUUCCGUGUUUGUUUGAAAUCCCCAGGUCAGCUGCAUCCGCACCGAGGCCGAUUCCCCAGAGCCCACACACAGAUACCUACUUCAGU